GGGAGCAAUCCUGCAANGUACAGUGGCGUACGGGUGAGUAACACGUGGAUAAUCUGCCCUGGAGUGGGGAAUAACGCUGGGAAACCGGCGCUAAUACCGCAUAUUCCCGAGAGGGGAAAGCAGCAAUGCGCUCGAGGAGGAGUCCGCGGCUGAUUAGCUAGUUGGUAGGGUAACGGCCUACCAAGGCUAUGAUCGGUAGCCGGCCUGAGAGGGCACACGGCCACACUGGCACUGAAACACGGGCCAGACUCCUACGGGAGGCAGCAGUGGGGAAUCUUGCACAAUGGGGGCAACCCUGAUGCAGCGACGCCGCGUGAGCGAUGAAGCCCUUCGGGGUGUAAAGCUCUUUCGGCAGGGAAGAUGAUGACGGUACCUGCAGAAGCAGCUGCGGCUAACUACGUGCCAGCAGCCGCGGUAAUACGUAGGCAGCAAGCGUUGUUCGGAGUUACUGGGCGUAAAGGGUGUGUAGGCGGCCUUCUAAGUUUGGUGUGAAAUCUCCCGGCUCAACCGGGAGGGGUGCGCCGAA
rnacentral:rRNA from 1 species